rnacentral:rRNA from 1 species
GUAGGGAAUAUUGGACAAUGGGGGCAACCCUGAUCCAGCGACGCCGCGUGAGUGACGAAGGCCUUCGGGUCGUAAAGCUCUGUUGCAAGGGAAAAACAAAAUGAUGGUACCUUGCUAGAAAGGAUCGGCUAACUUCGUGCCAGCAGCCGCGGUAAGACGAGGGAUCCUAGCGUUGUUCGGAAUUAUUGGGCGUAAAGCGGGUGUAGGUGGCUUUGUAAGUCAGGUGUGAAAGCCUGGGGCUUAACCCCAGAAGUGCAUUUGAUACUGCGAAGCUUGAGUGCUGGAGAGGCUACUAGAAUUCUUGGUGUAGUGGUGAAAUACGUAGAUAUCAAGAGGAAUACCGGAGGCGAAGGCGGGUAGCUGGCCAGACACUGACACUCAGACCCGAAAGCGUGGGGAUCAAACAGGAUUAGAUACCCCUGUAGUCC